UAUGACAUUUACUUUGAGGAAAUUAGAGUGCUCUCUGCAAGCUCGCCCUCUGAAUAUAUUAGCAUGGCAUGAUGAUAUAGGACCUUGGUUUUAUUUUGUUGGUUUUUCGGGCUGAGGUAAUGAUUAAUAGGGAUAGUUGGGGGCACUUGUAUUAACGCGUCAGAAGUGGAAUUCUUGGAUUGCGUUACGACAGUUUUUUGCGAAAGCAUUUGGCAAGGAUGUUUUCAUUGAUCAAGAACGAAAGUAUGGGG
rnacentral:rRNA from 1 species